AAUAACCAAUAAUUUGAUGUUCUACAGGUUGGGAAGUUAUUUUUCAAGACCCCUAGGAAGUGUGAGGUGUAUGGAAUCAGCUGUGAAGGAUCUGGAAAGCAGGUGUUUUACCUCGCAGACGAAGGCCAGUCACAUGGUAAAGGUGCAAAUGCUGUGGUCAGCCAGGUUCACCACUACCUCAACACAUACGGUCUUGGCGAACAGCAUGCUCACUUUCAGUGUGACAACUAUUGCGGCCA